rnacentral:rRNA from 1 species
AUUGAACGCUGGCGGCAUGCCUUACCCUUGCAAGUCGAACGGCAGCACGGGGGCAACCCUGGUGGCGAGUGGCGAACGGGUGAGUAAUACAUCGGAACGUGUCCUGUCGUGGGGGAUAACCAGUCAAAAGACUGGCUAAUACCGCAUGAAAUCGAGAGAUGAAAGCAGGGGACCGCAAGGCCUUGCGCGAUUGGAGCGGCCGAUGUCGGAUUAGCUAGUUGGCGGGGUAAAAGCCCACCAAGGCGACAAUCCGUAGCUGGUUUGAGAGAACGACCAGCCACACUGGGACUGAAACACGGCCCAAACUCCUACGGGAGGCAGCAGUGGGGAAUUUUGGACAAUGGGGGCAACCCUGAUCCAGCCAUGCCGCGUGUGUGAAGAAGGCCUUCGGGUUGUAAAGCACUUUCGGACGGAACGAAAUCGCGCGGGUGAAUAUCCCGCGUGGAUGACGGUACUGUAAGAAGAAGCACCGGCUAACUACGUG